GAGUUUGAUCAUGGCUCAGGACGAACGCUGGCGGCGUGCCUAAUACAUGCAAGUCGAACGAAACUUUCUUACACCGAAUGCUUGCAUUCACCGUAAGAAGUUGAGUGGCGGACGGGUGAGUAACACGUGGGUAACCUGCCUAAAAGAAGGGGAUAACACUUGGGAAACAGGUGCUAAAUACCGUAUAUCUCUAAGGAUCGCAUGAUCCUUAGAUGAAAGAUGGUUUUGCUAUCGCUUUUAGAAUGGU
rnacentral:rRNA from 1 species